GAUGAGCGCUGACAGAAUGCUUAACACAUGCAAGUCUACUUGAUCCUUCGGGUGAUGGUGGCGGACGGGUGAGUAACGCGUAAAGAACUUGCCUUGCAGUCUGGGACAACGUCUGGAAACGGACGCUAAUACCGGAUAUUAUGAUUGAGUCGCAUGAUUUGAUUAUGAAAGCUAUAUGCGCUGCGAGAGAGCUUUGCGUCCCAUUAGUUAGUUGGUGAGGUAACGGCUCACCAAGACGAUGAUGGGUAGCCGGCCUGAGAGGGUGAACGGCCACAAGGGGACUGAGACACGGCCCUUACUCCUACGGGAGGCAGCAGUGGGGAAUAUUGGACAAUGGACCAAAAGUCUGAUCCAGCAAUUCUGUGUGCACGAUGAAGUUUUUCGGAAUGUAAAGUGCUUUCAGUUGGGAAGAAGAAAGUGACGGUACCAACAGAAGAAGCGACGGCUAAAUACGUGCCAGCAGCCGCCGUAAAAC
rnacentral:rRNA from 1 species